AAAAUAUCUAUUUUCAAGUGUUUAAUUCAUAUUCAGAGGUUUGCAUUUACAUAUGCAUGGACUUUAACUGUAACACAAAAUCCCAACACGUGCGUUUACCAAAGUGCACAUUGUAAAUUUUGCAUAUUGCAAUUUCACCGUUCGUAUGAAGAGGGUUCAUUAAAAAGUAAAAUCUUCCAGGUGUGGUGGUACACCCUGCGAUCCCAGCACUUGGGAGGCUGAGGCAGGAGAAUUGCUGGGCCACAUAGUUCAAGGCCAGCCUGAGAUACACCAAGAAACUUUGUCUAAAAGAAAGGGGGACCAGAGGGGGGUUGAGUACAGCUGGCAGGGAGGCCGGGGCUCCUGGGGAGUGUGGGAUCUCCAGCGUCCCGAGUCCCGAUCUCCCUACCCUUGAGCACGGCCCGGCUCUGCAGUGACCCGGCAGUGACCCCGCGCUCCCUGCGUGUCCACUUUGCGGUCCGCGGCAGCUACUGUCACUAAGCCAUCACUAGCCCCGGGAUAGAGCUUGGUAGCUGAGACCCCUUGUCACUAACUUCCAGGUGUCAGGAUGGCCGAGUGGUCUAAGGCGCCAGACUCAAGCUCUGCUUCCCGUCCCGGGGUUUCUGGUCUCCAAGUGGAGGCGUGGGUUCGAAUCCCACUUCUGACACAUAUUUUUUUCCCCUCCCUUUUCUUUCCUGCCGGGAUGGGUUCACCUCAAGUCUCUUCCUGGCCACCGGCCGGGACCCUUGGAUCCAGCCCUGCGAACACCCUCGCUGCGCAGAGAGGCGCUUCCCGAGCUCGAACCCUCGACCGACAAAAGCUUCGAGUUGGGGGCCCGGGACCCCCCGCGCUUUCCUCCAGAAGCCGGCGCCGCCUCGGCUCAGGGUCAAGGAGGUGGAGGCCAGGCGGACAGGAGUCGCCCCUCCUCAGUGGGUCCGGGCGCCAUGGACACCCACGGGGUCACGCGGAGCCCCCACAGGUCACCAGGCGACCUAAAGGCGGCCAGGCUCGUGGGCUGCAAAACUCAGGACGCAGAAGCACACGGAUUGACCGGUUUCCCAAGGACAGUGCGCUCCCGCGGGGCGGAGUAGACAUCCGAGAACGCCUGGCGGCGGAGACGGGCGGACGGGGCAGGGAGCCGGGGACACGACCUUCUGGUGACUCAUUUAACUGCGAGCGGGGUCGGGGACGAGCUCCGCCCCACCCGGAGCUCCUCCUGCCUCGCCCUCGGCCCAGCCGGGGCCUCACGCGCGGCCCCGAGAGUGGAUCCGAGCUCUCCACGCCGGGCGUCACUCUUCCUCGAGUUCUCCUCCCGGGACGGCACAACCUUCCCUCGCGGGCCUUCUGCCCUUUGAAAGCACGCAGGGUGCAUUCCGAGGUUUCCAGCACCGCGCGGGGCCGUCCUCGGGGACCGUCCCUGCCGAGUGGACGACCCGCUCUCCCAAGAACGGGCGUUUUCGCAGCCUGGGGCCCAGUGGUGAUCUACGAGUCAUUCUAUACCACGCAUUAAGAGCCGCAACAUGGAGCCUGGACAGCUCAGUCGUGGAGUACCGCCCUGCCCUAAAGAAGGAUGAGCUUCAGACGUUUACAGCUAAAUGGAUGGACGCACUUGUUGAAAUGCCAUACCGAUGGUCUCUGGUGCGGGAAACUGAAUGUGGAAGUAAGGACUGGGAUGUAGAAUGGAUGUUGGGAAUUGGGGGAAAAGUGCUCAAGUGGGAAGGGAAAGGGGAGGAGUGAGGGAAAAAGGAAGGGAGGGACAAGGAAAAGGUGAAAAUGGAAGGAAAAAUGGAAGCAGCUUUGUACAUAGGGAGGGGAGAAGGUUUGAGGGGGAAGAAGGGAUAAAAUAAAAUAAAAUUUGUUAAAGAAAAAAAGAAGCAGCGCUGGGCUGUAGCCGAGCAUGAAGGCCCGGGUCCCGUCCCCUGAUUUGUGUGCGCAGACAUGUUUGUCACUCAUGCUGCUGCGUGCUGCUCAGUGAGGCCGGGCACUGCACACCCCACGUCCCAGGUGCACGGCUUCUGGCUGGAUGGAGAGAAGCAGAAAGAAGAAGGAGGCAGCUCCAUACCC
rnacentral:tRNA from 1 species